CAAAGGACAGUGGCAAGAAACACUU
rnacentral:piRNA from 1 species